GACGAACGCUGGCGGCGUGCCUAACACAUGCAAGUCGAACGAGGUCCAUCCUUCGGGAGAAGACCUAGUGGCGAACGGGUGAGUAACACGUGAAGAACCUGCCCCGAAGACCGGGAUAACCCUCCGAAAGGAGAGCUAAUACCGGAUACCCCCACCGAACCGCAUGGUUUGGUGAGGAAAUGGAUUCCGCUUCGGGGGGCGUUCGCGGCCUAUCAGCUAGUUGGUGGGGUAACGGCCACCAAGGCAUCGACGGGUAGCUGGUCUGAGAGGACGAUCAGCCACACUGGGACUGAGACACGGCCCAGACUCCUACGGGAGGCAGCAGUGGGGAAUCUUGCGCAAUGGGCGAAAGCCUGACGCAGCAACGCCGCGUGGGGGAUGAAGGCUCUCGGGUGUAAACCCCUUUCAGCAGGGACGAAUCAAGACGGUACCUGCAGAAGAAGCCCCGGACUAACUACGUGCCAGCAGCCGCGGUAAU
rnacentral:rRNA from 1 species